GACGAACGCUGGCGGCGCGCCUAACACAUGCAAGUCGAACGAGCAAAGAGGAGCUUGCUUCUCUGAGCGAGUGGCGAACGGGUGAGUAACGCGUGAGGAACCUGCCUCAAAGAGGGGGACAACAGUUGGAAACGACUGCUAAUACCGCAUAAGCCCACGGGUCGGCAUCGACCAGAGGGAAAAGGAGUAAUCCGCUUUGAGAUGGCCUCGCGUCCGAUUAGCUAGUUGGUGAGGUAAUGGCCCACCAAGGCGACGAUCGGUAGCCGGACUGAGAGGUUGAACGGCCACAUUGGGACUGAGACACGGCCCAGACUCCUACGGGAGGCAGCAGUGGGGAAUAUUGCACAAUGGGGGGAAACUCUGAUGCAGCGACGCCGCGUGAGUGAUGAAGUAUUUCGGUAUGUAAAACUCUAUCAGCAGGGAAGAUAAUGACGGUACCUGACUAAGAAGCACCGGCUAAAUACGUG
rnacentral:rRNA from 1 species